rnacentral:rRNA from 1 species
AUGUACGCUGGCGGCGUGCCUAAUCCAUGCAAGUCGAGCGAACAGACGAGGAGCUUGCUCCUCUGACGUUAGCGGCGGACGGGUGAGUAACACGUGGAUAACCUACCUAUAAGACUGGGAUAACUUCGGGAAACCGGAGCUAAUACCGGAUAAUAUAUUGAACCGCAUGGUUCAAUAGUGAAAGACGGUUUUGCUGUCACUUAUAGAUGGAUCCGCGCCGCAUUAGCUAGUUGGUAAGGUAACGGCUUACCAAGGCAACGAUGCGUAGCCGACCUGAGAGGGGGAUCGGCCACACUGGAACUGAGACACGGUCCAGACUCCUACGGGAGGCAGCAGUAGGGAAUCUUCCGCAAUGGGCGAAAGCUUGACGGAGCAACGCCGCGUGAGUGAUGAAGGUCUUCGGAUCGUAAAACUCUGUUAUUAGGGAAGAACAAAUGUGUAAGUAACUAUGCACGUCUUGACGGUACCUAAUCAGAAAGCCACGGCUAACUACGUG